rnacentral:rRNA from 1 species
UACGUAGGGGGCAAGCGUUGUCCGGAAUCAUUGGGCGUAAAGAGCGCGUAGGCGGCCCAGUAAGUCCGCUCUGAAAGUCAGGGGCUCAACCCCUGGAUGCGGGUGGAUACUGCUGGGCUAGAGUCCGGAAGAGGAGAAUGGAAUUCCUGGUGUAGCGGUGAAAUGCGCAGAUAUCAGGAAGAACACCCGUGGCGAAGGCGGUUCUCUGGGACGGUACUGACGCUGAGACGCGAAAGCGUGGGGAGCGAACAGG